UCUGCAGAUCCAUGCACAUCCCUAGUCUCCUUCAGUCAAAGCAGACAAGUUUUGUUGCUGAAGGGAGAAAGAAUGAGAGUGUGAGUGAGCAAGUAGUCCAUGCUGAUGCAACAGUAGCCAUGAGGAGAGGCGGCCUUUGGAUAUGAACUUCACCCUUGCUGCCUCACUGCUGAGCUUGGAAGGUAUGGUUGGCCUGGCGACAAGGAGGAAGAGGGGCAAUGAGGCAGGAGCAAUGAGACAGAAGUCUGUCUGUACUGUUGCAUCUCAUCUUUGUAGGGCAAGGCCGCCCUGAUUCUGUGCCUGUGCACAGGGCAUCCCUUUAUCUAGGCACUUUCCUUCUCACACCCAGGAAGGCAUCUAGAGGGAUUCUGAACAGUGUUCCCCCUAACAGGGAUUCCCAGAUGUUGUUGACUACAAUUCCCAGAAAUCCCAGUUGCAAUGGCUUUUGCUUGGGGAUUAUGGGAGUUGUAGUCAACAACAUCUGGGAAUCCCUGUUAGAGGGAACACUGAUUCUGAACCUCCUUGCUACCACCCAACCAUUCCACACUGAGGUCAGGAUUCAAAGUUUUAUAUGAAGCCUCCUGCAUAUGUACCAGGGCUUUGGGGGCCCUGCCUUUCCUAUCACCCUACAUGCCCCCUAAAGACUUGGGCAUGUGCUGAAGGGCUUCUGAAGCAAUAUGUGAUGCAGCACAAGGGACUGCAGUGGGAAAGGGGCAGAAUGCUGGUGCAUGCAUGAAGGUGCUGCCAGCAGGCACACAGAACUAUUUGGAUCCUGUGGACAUUUACCUGGAAAUGUGCCAUUGAAUUCAACGAGUCGUGUCCACUGGGUAAAUAUUCAUAGGAUAAGGCAGUAUAUUUUAAUACCACUUGUAAACAAGUUUAAUCCUCAUGUUUGUAGGUCUAUAGAAACAAAAACAGAAAAAUGACACCUAAUUGUUCCAAGGAAUUGAUGAUAACACUUUUAUCCUGUAGUCCUUCUUGGGGAAGUCUUGGCGAAAAACACUGAAUAUCCAGACAGUUUUUAAGGACUUAUUAGUGAAAGAAAUAUUAUCACAAGCUCCAGAUAACAGAAUGGACUAUUAUUACAACACAUUUCUUUAUGUCAAGGACCUACAAGUGAAAGAAUUAUUAUUAUAACAGCUUUGGAUAACAGAAUGGACAAUCAUUACAGCGAACACAUUUCUCUUUGCAAACAACUCUGGGUAAUAGUGAACUUGUUUUGGUGUUCCGUUGCAACAUCACAGUCCUUCAUAUCAUUUAGUAAGAUUGGUAUAUUUUUACCAUCUUCAUUAUUCUGUGCUCUGGGCUAUUUUGUAUAUUUUCUAAUGUUCCUUUGAAAUAUGUAUGUUUAUUUAAAGAAUUUAAGUAUUAUUUAAAGAAUUUAAGACACACAUAUAUAAAAGUAUUAUUAUUUAUUCUUUGAA